GUGGGGCCGUUGGCUCCGCGGAGUUAGCUGCUGAGGGGCGUUUGGAACCCGGUGCAACUUAGCUACUUUGGACCAGACCGGAACUAGGGAAGGACUAGGUUACCUCACUAAGAGGAAAGAAUGGUUUCUGAACAUCCAAAAGUCAAGAUCAAAGUGCUUUGUGAUUUUUUCUUUCUUCCCUGAAAUCUUUGUUUUUCAAGGGGUUGGUCAUGUUCAGGGAUGUGGCUGUAGACUUCUCUCAGGAGGAGUGGGAAUGCCUGGACUCUAUGCAGAGGGAUUUAUAUAGAGAUGUAAUGAUGGAGAAUUACAGCAACCUGGUCUUACUAGUGACUGAAGAAUCUAUUGAAUCAGCCAACACUUCAUUUAGGAGCAUGAAAAAACACACAGAAGUGUUUAAAGUAGUAGUUAAUAAAAUAUUUUGUUUGCAAGCAAUGCGUGGAGUCUUACUCAAUUCAAUAUAUUGUUAUUAGUUGACAUUGAGUUUCCAGAUAUACAAUGAUAUCUGGAAAUUAUGAUAGUCCAAAUCUCCUUUUCAAUUCUUACAACUAUAAUUAUUUCACUUACCUAACUGCCAGCACAAUUCUGUAGGCUCAAAUAAAAGCAGGUAUCAGAUAUCCAGCUAGUCACAGUCAGGCACUGUUUAUGAGUCGCUCAGCAGUCUGCCACCAUAGAACAUAUGCAAGAGAACAACAUCCCUUCUGUAACCAUCAUAUAAAUACUAACACAUCUAUAAAAACAGACACAUUCAGUUACCUACUAUCUCAUCCACUCAACAAAACCAAAAUCCUGAGGCAUCACAUCAUUCUCUACCUCAUAUAAGUAAUUCUACACAGAAAAAUCACACUCACAAACCACUUCCUGUUAAUGUCUCUUCCAGUCACUUACAAGCUCAAACACGACUCACACUUAAUCCAAAAAUAGAUACACCAGAGGAAACACCACACGGCAACACGACUCCACCCACUUCCACAACCGGCUGCAGAGUAGCUCGAGGUGACCAGCAUCAGGUCAGGUAAAGAGGGCCAUCCCAAUUCGGGACAUACACCUACACACAAACACACGUCACACUUGCUAUGUGCCAGGCCCGGCUCCAGGCGCUUGGGCUUCCCCAGGGACAAAACACAAAAUCCGCCACGCCCCCCCCCGCCCCCGCCAGACAUCGUUCCAGGUCACACCCAUGGUGGACAUCAGCAUUCCUACCCAGAACAAAAGUAAGGUGCUCAACACACGUAGGUCUGAAGCUCCCAGCUUCCUCCUGGGCUUUUGCAGCUCUGGGUCAGG